GUAUUUUGCUAGAGGUGCCUUAUAAACAUAGGAAGGCUGAGAGGAGAAAUCCAACUCUUUGAACUUGAUGUAGUUAAUACUACCGUAGGGAAGCAGAGCAUUAUUAUG
rnacentral:ncRNA from 2 species